rnacentral:rRNA from 1 species
GAUGAACGCUGGCGGCGUGCUUAACACAUGCAAGUCGAACGGAAAGGCUCCUGCUUGCAGGGGUACUCGAGUGGCGAACGGGUGAGUAACACGUGGGUGAUCUGCCCUGCACUUCGGGAUAAGCCUGGGAAACUGGGUCUAAUACCGGAUAGGACGAUGGUUUGGAUGCCAUUGUGGAAAGUUUUUCGGUGUGGGAUGAGCUCGCGGCCUAUCAGCUUGUUGGUGGGGUAAUGGCCUACCAAGGCGUCGACGGGUAGCCGGCCUGAGAGGGUGUACGGCCACAUUGGGACUGAGAUACGGCCCAGACUCCUACGGGAGGCAGCAGUGGGGAAUAUUGCACAAUGGGCGCAAGCCUAAUGCAGCGACGCCGCGUGGGGGAUGACGGCCUUCGGGUUGUAAACUCCUUUCGCUAGGGACGAAGCGCAAGUGACGGUACCUGGAGAAGAAGCACCGGCUAACUACGUG